AUAGUGUGAAGAAGUAAACUAGGUCUUCCAGACCUGCUAAUCAAGGAUCUUCUGAUGUGCUCCUUUCCUGCUUAAAGUCUAGAGGUGGUCAAUUCCUUGCCCAUACUUGGAUUAAUGUCCUUUUUACGAGAGGACCAAAGAUUGCUGCAGAAACUUGGUUGCGGCGAGAGAUCAAAGAGCUUUUGAAAAAGGCAAGCUCCUUAUCACAGUUGGUGAGGAAUCUGCUGCAUUGAACCGAGAGCUCCAGUUAUUGGAACAACAGUCUGCUUCUAGUGACCGUUUAUCUGUGCUUGUCAAUGAGACAUUGCAGUUAUAUGACCGAAACUCUUUUCACGAGAUGUUCCAGGAUAUGAUUAAAACAUCAUCACAACUUGGGACGAAAACAGCAAAGCUGAAGACUAGAAAGGCUGAAGAAGCGAAACAGAAUAAGAUAGAUAAGAUCUACAACUGAUACAAAGAUUCAUCUGUGAUGAAUGAUAGUAAUGGCUACUCUGGUGCAAAGUUGGAAGAUCUUCAAGAAUUUUUAGACAAUAUGAACUAUCCAUAUGAUUUCUUCAGUCUUGCAGCGCACCCAAUUCGCACCUUUUUGUGGUAGAUGAAGUGACUACAGCAAUUGUGAACAAAACUGCAAUAGUAAUUGUUAGGCUAGCCGACUACUUACAGACUCAGCUAUAGGUUCUGACCAGUUUCUUGAUUUUGAGUUAGGCUAGCUUUUAAU